rnacentral:lncRNA from 1 species
ACUUCCGCCCGCGGCGUCACGUCCGCGAGGCUCCCGGGCCCGCCGGCGUCUGUGGGGAACUGGGGCGCUGGUCGGUGCGCGGGCUGGGACGCUAAGUCAUGAGGAAUUAAACUGGGAAACCUGGCGUGGGUCCAGGCGCCUUCCAGGAGGCAUCCGGCGCGGCCCGGACGUGCUUCUACCCAGAACCACCCCCUCCAGGCCGGGGUGCACUUAACGGGGCUAUACAAAGAGUCUGACACUGUUAUUGCCCAUCUGAACUCGUCAACUGAGAAGGAAAGAGAUGGUUUAUGCUGUGAAUAAAAUACAGUUGUGCUGUGAUGUAAAUCCCCUCAUCCUGGAGCAGCUGAGCAAGGUCUAAGGCAGGAAGAACCUUCAAGCAGGUCAUGGCUGCUCAACUCUGCCUGGCAGUGGCAAGGGCCAGGGCCAGUGACUGAAGCAACAAACUGCCAGAUGACUGCAGCUCAAGCCAAUGCACAAAGCCACUGCAACAAGAGAGGAAAUUCUUCCAUUUCCAAGUGUGUCGAUUUCUCCCCAUCAAGGAAAACAGCUAAGGCAAUGUGUUGAUAUUUUCUUUGACCAAGUCAUCAGGAGUCACAUAGACAUACAGCACUCAAGAAGUGGCUGUAACUAAAGGCACAUCUCGUUCAUCUACAACCCUUGUAAUCCCAACCUUUGUCUGAUGCACAAACCCUUCCCUAGUUCUCCCCACCACCACCACUGCACCUCCAAGUGGGGACAACGAAUUGUUUCAUUUGCAUGUGGUUUUUCUCAUGAAAAAUAUCAUUAACAUGAGACAGCCCCAAACCAAGGAAACCAGAAGUGGGGUUUGUGCUUGGUCUUACUGAGAGCUUUCCCUACUUGACCAGACCCCAGCAUUGUUCUAGAUUUGUCUCUUGUGGGCUACAGGAAUGCAAACAUUUUGUAGUUUCCUCUUUUUUGUUUUCUUAAUGGCUUGAUGAGCCACACAUGUUUCUCUAAAUGCAUGAUUUUAAAUUCACACAAUUUCUGCCAACUAAACUUAAUGCAUUCUC